UUGCGCGCCAGGGCUGUGAUUGGACACCCCUGCAGUAGACACUGAAACAACUGGCUGAAAGUCACCGGACUGAACAAAUUUAGUGGCUUAAAAAAAACUCAGGUUUAACCGCUAAAUGUUCUUGCUAUAGCCAGCUAGAACAGGAGCAUACGUCACCCCUGCUAUGGCUGUGAACUCAAAAUACAGACGAGAUCUUCAACUAAAAGUCGUUGAAAAAGUUCAAGGAAACCAGAAUGACGCAGUACCCACAGUUCCAGCUGUGGCGCUUAUAUCCAGAGCUUGACGAAUUCUUCCAAUCCCUUUGGCGAAACAUCUUCCCGGACAGAGAGGUGGGAAAGGGAGAGGAGCUGGGGACCCCGUUUUCGGAGAUAUCCGAAGGGAAGGAACAUUCCCUGUCCCUGUACCGUAACUUCUUUAACCCUGUCACCUGCCAGCUCCCACCUUCCACAGACAGCGCCCCCGCUGGCCAGCAAAGAGAUUACAACCUGGAGCUCAGCUGCUUUGACUCCUGGGUUUGUAACCUGAAGGACCAGGGCAUGGCUAGACGAUGUCUGUUGCAUGAGACCGCCCCCAUGUCCUACAGAAUGCCUACUUCAGCCUAUGUCUCCCGCACUUCUAAUUAUCCUGUUUCCCUGGAAAAUGCUUCAGAGGUCUCUGUGGAUGAGCUAUUUUAUAAAAUGUACAGUUUUGAUACUUCGCACAUGUGUAUAUAAAUGAAAUUCUUGUUUAGUUCAAAGGCUGUUCUUUUGGUUCCUUGUACACCUUGAAAGGAGUUCUUUCAACAUCGUACUCGUCAUUCUUUUCCAUCAACUAUGUAUAACAAACAUGUAUUUCGUUUUUAGAAUAUGAUACCUGGUAUUGUUAAUAUGUUGCGUGUCUCUUAUUGUAUAGAAGAGAUGUCAUCGUGUGCAGUUUGGGCAAGUGGACUGGCAAGCAAAACUGAACCAUUCCAACCAUCUCAACCAAAUUUAGUUUAUUAACUUUGUGCCCACAGGGCCAGAACAUUGAAUAACUUUGUCAUAUUCGAUAUUACUGCUAAUAAAAAGAUUACCACAGUCAUUUUGCAGUGUUUCCCCAUGCUGAAACGUGUUUAUGAUCUGGUGUGAGACUUACCUGGAACAUCUGACUUGCAGCGUACUGGUUAUCAAAAGCUACAUAGCGAAGGGAAAUACAU